rnacentral:rRNA from 1 species
GACGAACCGUGCAAACGUUAUUCGGAAUCACUGGGCUUAAAGCGCGUGUAGGCGGGCCAGCACGUCGGAUGCUGAAAGCCCCCGGCUCAACCGGGGAAGGGGCACCGAUACGACUGGCCUGGAGGGGGGUAGGGGGAGCCGGAACUCACGGUGGAGCGGUGAAAUGCGUUGAGAUCGUGAGGAACGCCCGUGGCGAAAGCGGGCUCCUGGACCCCACCUGACGCUGAGACGCGAAAGCCAGGGGAGCGAACGGGAUUAGAUACCCUAGUAGUCC